rnacentral:lncRNA from 1 species
AGGAGUUGGGAUGCUGGCCCUGCCCCCUCAACUGGAUACUGGAUAGGCGGGGCUUUCACGUAGCGAGUGAGUGGUGGGUCAUGCUUUCUCUACCUCUCAGGGGAGGAGACCGACUCAGAGCCCCAAACCCCUCCGUUGGAUAAUCUAAGUGUCCUUUGGAAGAAUGCGGUGGGCUUCUGGAUCUUGGGGCUUUGCAACAACUUCUCAUAUGUGGUGAUGCUGAGCGCUGCCCAUGACAUCCUUAAGCAGGAGCAGGCAUCUGGAAACCAGAGCCAUGUGGAACCAGGCCCAACACCCAUGCCCCAUAACAGCUCAUCUCGAUUUGAUUGCAAUUCAAUCUCCACAGCUGCGGUGCUCCUAGCAGACAUCCUUCCCACCCUUGUCAUCAAACUCCUGGCUCCUCUUGGCCUUCAUUUGCUGCCUUACAGCCCCCGGGUGCUUGUCAGUGGAGUCUGUUCUGCUGGAAGCUUUGUUCUGGUUGCCUUUUCUCAAUCAGUGGGGUUAAGCCUGUGUGGAGUGGUUUUGGCCAGCAUCUCAUCAGGUCUAGGGGAGGUCACCUUCCUUUCACUGACUGCCUUCUACCCCAGUGCUGUGAUCUCAUGGUGGUCUUCAGGAACUGGGGGUGCAGGGCUUCUUGGAUCGCUGUCAUACCUGGGGCUCACCCAGGCUGGCCUCUCCCCGCAGCACACCCUACUUUCUAUGCUGGGGAUCCCUGUUCUGAUGCUAGCCAGCUAUUUCUUGCUGCUCACAUCUCCUGAACCCCUGGACCCUGGAGGGCAAGACGAGGCAGAGACUGCUGCC